AGUCGGGUCCUAAGCUGAGGCCGACAGGCGUAGGCGAUGGAUAACAGGUUGAUAUUCCUGUACCACCUAUAAUCGUUUUAAUCGAUGGGGGGACGCAGUAGGAUAGGCGAAGCGUGCGAUUGGAUUGCACGUCUAAGCAGUAAGGCUGAGUAUUAGGCAAAUCCGGUACUCGUUAAGGCUGAGCUGUGAUGGGGAGAAGACAUUGUGUCUUCGAGUCGUUGAUUUCACACUGCCGAGAAAAGCCUCUAGAUAGAAAAUAGGUGCCCGUACCGCAAACCGACACAGGUAGUCAAGAUGAGAAUUCUAAGGUGAGCGAGCGAACUCUCGUUAAGGAACUCGGCAAAAUGACCCCGUAACUUCGGGAGAAGGGGUGCUCUUUAGGGUUAACGCCCAGAAGAGCCGCAGUGAAUAGGCCCAAGCGACUGUUUAUCAAAAACACAGGUCUCUGCUAAACCGUAAGGUGAUGUAUAGGGGCUGACGCCUGCCCGGUGCUGGAAGGUUAAGAGGAGUGGUUAGCUUCUGCGAAGCUACGAAUCGAAGCCCCAGUAAACGGCGGCCGUAACUAUAACGGUCCUAAGGUAGCGAAAUUCCUUGUCGGGUAAGUUCCGACCCGCACGAAAGGCGUAACGAUUUGGGCACUGUCUCAACGAGAGACUCGGUGAAAUCAUAGUACCUGUGAAGAUGCAGGUUACCCGCGACAGGACGGAAAGACCCCGUGGAGCUUUACUGUAGCCUGAUAUUGAAAUUCGGCACAGCUUGUACAGGAUAGGUAGGAGCCUUUGAAACGUGAGCGCUAGCUUACGUGGAGGCG
rnacentral:rRNA from 1 species